UACGGGGGGAGCAAGCGUUGUUCGGAUUUACUGGGCGUAAAGGGCGCGUAGGCGGCCAGCGCAAGUCAGUUGUGAAAUCUCCGGGCUUAACUCGGAACGGUCAACUGAUACUGCGCGGCUAGAGUGCAGAAGGGGCUACUGGAAUUCUCGGUGUAGCGGUGAAAUGCGUAGAUAUCGAGAGGAACACCUGCGGCGAAGGCGGGUUGCUGGGCUGACACUGACGCUGAAGCGCGAAAGCUAGGGGAGCGAACGGG
rnacentral:rRNA from 1 species